UACGUAGGGGGCUAGCGUUGUCCGGAAUCAUUGGGCGUAAAGAGCGUGUAGGCGGCCCGGUAAGUCCGCUGUGAAAGUCGGGGGCUCAACCCUCGAAUGCCGGUGGAUACUGUCGGGCUAAAGUGCGGAAGAGGCGAGUGGAAUUCCUGGUGUAGCGGUGAAAUGCGCAGAUAUCAGGAGGAACACCGAUUGCGAAGGCAGCUCGCUGGGACGUAACUGACGCUGAGACGCGAAAGCGUGGGGAGCAAACAGG
rnacentral:rRNA from 1 species